rnacentral:rRNA from 1 species
CACGCCGUAAACGAUGGAUACUAGUGGUAUGGAGAUUCGACCCUCUGUGUCACGAAGCUAACGCGAUAAGUAUCCCGCCUGGGGAGUACGAACGCAAGUUUAAAACUCAAAGGAAUUGACGGGGACCCGCACAAGCAGUGGAGGAUGGGGUUUAAUAUGACGCUAAGCGUAGAACCUUACCGAGGCUUGACAUCCUGGGAAUCUGAUCGAAAGAUCGGAGUGCCUUCGGGAAUCCAGUGACAGGUGC